rnacentral:pre_miRNA from 1 species
CAUUUACUCCCUCCGUCCCAAAAUAAGUGUCUCAAGCUUAGUACAACUUUGUAUUAGAGUUAAUAUAAAUUUGAGACACUUAUUUUGGGACAGAGGGAGUAUAAA